UUCCGGUUGAUCCUGCCGGAGGCCACUGCUAUGGGGGUCCGACUAAGCCAUGCGAGUCGAGGGGGCGUCCCUUCUGGGACGCCACCGGCGGACGGCUCAGUAACACGUCGGUAACCUACCCUCGGGAGGGGGAUAACCCCGGGAAACUGGGGCUAAUCCCCCAUAGGCCUGGGGUACUGGAAGGUCCCCAGGCCGAAAGGGGACCGUUAGGUCCCGCCCGAGGAUGGGCCGGCGGCCGAUUAGGUAGUUGGUGGGGUAACGGCCCACCAAGCCGAAGAUCGGUACGGGCCGUGAGAGCGGGAGCCCGGAGAUGGACACUGAGACACGGGUCCAGGCCCUACGGGGCGCAGCAGGCGCGAAACCUCCGCAAUGCGGGAAACCGCGACGGGGGGACCCCCAGUGCCGUGCCUUUGGCACGGCUUUUCCGGAGUGUAAAAAGCUCCGGGAAUAAGGGCUGGGCAAGGCCGGUGGCAGCCGCCGCGGUAAUACCGGCGGCCCGAGUGGUGGCCACUAUUAUUGGGCCUAAAGCGGCCGUAGCCGGGCCCGUAAGUCCCUGGCGAAAUCCCACGGCUCAACCGUGGGGCUCGCUGGGGAUACUGCGGGCCUUGGGACCGGGAGAGGCCGGGGGUACCCCCGGGGUAGGGGUGAAAUCCUAUAAUCCCGGGGGGACCGCCAGUGGCGAAGGCGCCCGGCUGGAACGGGUCCGACGGUGAGGGCCGAAGGCCAGGGGAGCGAACCGGAUUAGAUACCCGGGUAGUCCUGGCUGUAAAGGAUGCGGGCUAGGUGUCGGGCGAGCUUCGAGCUCGCCCGGUGCCGUAGGGAAGCCGUUAAGCCCGCCGCCUGGGGAGUACGGCCGCAAGGCUGAAACUUAAAGGAAUUGGCGGGGGAGCACUACAAGGGGUGGAGCGUGCGGUUCAAUUGGAAUCAACGCCGGA
rnacentral:rRNA from 1 species